rnacentral:rRNA from 1 species
GUCAAGUUGCGUUCCAGAAGUCGGCGCGCUAACCGCAAGGGAGGCAGCUGCCCAAGGAGUGGUUGGUAACUGGGGUG